CCAUCAUUAAGUUGGGCACCCUAAGGAAACUGCCGCAGUUAAUGCCGGAGGAAAGGUGGGGAUGACGUCAAGUCCUCAUGGCCCUUAUACCCAGGGCUACACACGUGCUACAAUGGACGGUACAAAGGGUUGCAAACCCGCGAGGGGAGCCAAUCCCACAAAGCCGUUCUCAGUUCGGAUUGGAGUCUGCAACUCGACUCCAUGAAGCUGGAAUCGCUAGUAAUCGCGGAUCAGCAUGCCGCGGUGAAUACGUUCCCGGGUCUU
rnacentral:rRNA from 1 species